CGAGUACGCCGAACAGUCGCAUGAGCAGGGCUAAAGCCCCGUUCAUGAGGAAAGUCCGGGCUCCACAGGGCAAGGAUAGCGGGUAACGCCCGCCGAAGGCGACUUCAGGAAAAGUGCAACAGAGAUAUACCGCCCGCUUUUGCGGGUAAGGGUGGAAAGGUGAGGUAAGAGCUCACCGGUCGAUUGGAGACAAUUCGAUCCUGUAAACUCUAUCCGGAGCAACACCGUGGAGGGGACCAUAGGUCUGCCCGACCGUUCCCGAGGAGGUGGCUUGAGCGUGCUGGCAACGGUACGCCUAGAUAGAUGGCUGUUUAGACAGAACCCGGCUUACAGGUCUACUCGCAAC
rnacentral:RNase_P_RNA from 1 species